rnacentral:rRNA from 1 species
UAGUACGGCGAGUGAGCGGCACAGCUCAAAUUUGAAAGCUAGCCUUCGGGUUCGCAUUGUAAUUUGUAGAGGAUGCUUUGGGUAAAACGCCAGUCUAAGUUCCUUGGAACAGGACGUCAUAGAGGGUGAGAAUCCCGUAUGUGACUGGAAAUGUUAACCUAUGUAAAGCUCCUUCGACGAGUCGAGUUGUUUGGGAAUGCAGCUCUAAAUGGGAGGUAAAUUUCUUCUAAAGCUAAAUAUUGGCGAGAGACCGAUAGCGCACAAGUAGAGUGAUCGAAAGAUGAAAAGCACUUUGGAAAGAGAGUUAAAAAGCACGUGAAAUUGUUGAAAGGGAAGCGCUUGCAAUCAGACUUGUUUAAACUGUUCGGCCGGUCUUCUGACCGGUUUACUCAGUUUGGACAGGCCAGCAUCAGUUUCGGCGGCCGGAUAAAGGCUCUGGGAAUGUGGCCUCCACUUCGGUGGAGGUGUUAUAGCCCAGUGUGUAAUACGGCCAGCCGGGACUGAGGUCCGCGCUUCGGCUAGGAUGCUGGCGUAAUGGUUGUAAGCGACCCGUCUU